GAGGCAGUUUUCGAGAUCAUGAGGUUGCACGACAAUUUGAUGUUGAAGUUAGUAAUAGAUGAUGAUUGUCUUCAGAAGUUGAUGCAUGAGCUGGUAUCCGAUGAUAAUCUCAUCUUGGAGAGCGAGGAACGUCUUGACCAGUCAAUGGGUAAACUGGUUUUAAUGAUAACGUCCAGAUCGAAGACACAAAGGAUGACGAGAAAAAAGUUGCCAAAGUGAUCAUAUAUUGGCUCACCAGCCACGUUUUCACAUCCGAGAUUCAUGAAGUUGUGAAAAGAAUGCAUCAGAAGAAAUGAAGCUACAAAGCACAAAGGAGGUACAUUAAUCUUGAAGCUUUUUUUGUCUUGAAUAGUGAUCCGAGGAAUUCUAUUUCUAUCUUAAAGACUGACAUACCAUCUAUGCACGGUUAGACCCUUUUCGAAUUGUUUUGUUUUUGAAAAAUUCA